UAUUGAAAAAAAAGUAACAUAUGUGUAUUCUGACUUUUAAUCUGUAUCUUCAAUUUGUAAACCAUUCUCGUUCGCCCAAUUCUU
rnacentral:ribozyme from 11 species